rnacentral:rRNA from 1 species
UCUUCGGCAAUGGACGAAAGUCUGACCGGGCAACGCCGCGUGAGUGAAGAAGUAUCUCGGUAUGUAAAGCUCUAUCAGCAGGGAAGAAAAUGACGGUACCUGACUAAGAAGCCCCGGCUAACUACGUGCCAGCAGCCGCGGUAAUACGUAGGGGGCAAACGUUAUCCGGAUUUACUGGGUGUAAAGGGAGCGUAGACGGCGACGCAAGUCUGGAGUGAAAGCCCGGGGCCCAACCCCGGGACUGCUUUGGAAACUGUGCUGCUGGAGUGCAGGAGAGGUAAGUGGAAUUCCUAGUGUAGCGGUGAAAUGCGUAGAUAUUAGGAGGAACACCAGUGGUGAAGGCGGCUUACUGGACUGUAACUGACGUUGAGGCUCGAAAGCGUGGGGAGCAAACAG